rnacentral:misc_RNA from 1 species
UUUUUUUUUGACACUUCAAAAGUACAUAUACCAUUGAACAGCUACAAUCGGCAUCAACAAUAAGAAUCAUUUUCUUUUUUUUUUUUUUUUUAGUAGGGAGAUAGGGGGGAGGGACUCGAACCUAAGUCUAACAAGUGAGUAAUAUGCCUUCAAGCUAGGCAACAAUAAUAAUGAUAUUUAUGAUGCAAAAACUUGGCUUUAGAUUACUGCCAAGUCAAAUUUAAUCCUAGAUAAUCUGUCCCAAUUUUUGCCAAGCCUAUGUAUAACACUUUACUAGAACUUACAAGUGAAUAUUGGUGAAAAAGAUGCACAGCAGAGAGGCUCUUAGUGCAGAAGAUUUGAUUGAUCACUUCCUCUUCAAUGUAAGACUACAGAACCCCCAUAUAGAAAUGAAGAAUUCCAACAUUUAUCACACAAUGCAAAAUUUCAUCUUGAGCUUUCGCCAGCACAUUUUAUCUGCAGGGCAGCUCUAACAACAUUUUCCCUUGUAAUAAUUCCAACCAGCUUGCCAUCACCAUCUACCACUGGAAGUCUAUGAUACUUUGUGUCAAGCAACAACCUAGCAGCAUCCUCAAGAUUGGUGGUUUCAUUCACAACAAGCGGGGCAGGUGUCAUCAGAUCACCAACAAUUCUACCAUUGUUCUUAGUAAGCAGCUUCUGCAUCUCAUUGAAUGUUGUCCAAGAACUAUCAGCAUUGGGAAACAAGUUUGCUCCACCCCGACUGCCACCUGAAAUGGAGUUGAGUGCUAACAAGUCAUAAUCUGAAACAACGCCAACCAAUGUCCAAUCAUCAUCAACCACUGGAAAGCCAGAAAUUUUCUUCUCCACCAGAGCCUCUAAUGCCUCAUCAACAGUUGUGCUAGUUUUCACUACAUGCAAAUCCUCCUUCCUUGUCAUAAAAUCACCAACUGUAUAUGUCCCAGUUCUCGCCGAGCCGUUGUUGGUUACGGUUGAUAACGCAGAAACAGCAAGCCGGUGGGGUGCAGAAAAACGCUGGGAGAAGCACAAACGAUUUCGUUUGGGCAUAGAAGUUGCAGGAAACAGAGGAAGAAAUGGAGUGCAAUGAUAAUUAAAGGGGGAGUGAGGAAGAAGAGAAACUGUAAAAGUGGUUAAAGACAUGGAUGAGGCCAUGAAGGACAAAGAAGAAGAUGAAGAAGAAGAAGGUUUUGAUGGUUAUUAAAGAAAAGAGUGAGAGGGAGGAAGGAUUUGCAGAGAUACAGAGAGUUCUUGAAAGGAAAGCAGCGGAAGAU